GUGCCAGCAGCCGCGGUAAUUCCAGCUCCAAUAGCGUAUAUUAAAGUUGUUGCAGUUAAAAAGCUCGUAGUUGAAACUUGGGCCUGGCUGGCGGGUCCGCCUCACCGCGUGCACUCGUCCGGCCGGGCCUUCCUUCUGAAGAACCUCAUGCCCUUCACUGGGCGUGCUGGGGAAUCAGGACUUUUACUUUGAAAAAAUUAGAGUGUUCAAAGCAGGCCUUUACUCGAAUACGUUAGCAUGGAAUAAUAAAAUAGGGCGUGCGUUUCUAUUUUGUUGGUUUCUAGAGACGCCGCAAUGAUUAACAGGAACAGUCGGGGGCAUCAGUAUUCAGUUGUCAGAGGUGAAAUUCUUGGAUUUACUGAAGACUAACUACUGCGAAAGCAUUUGCCAAGGAUGUUUUCAUUAAUCAGUGAACGAAAGUUAGGGGAUCGAAGACGAUCAGAUACCGUCGUAGUCUUAACCGUAAACUAUGCCGACUAGGGAUCGGGCGAUGUUCUUUUUCUGACUCGCUCGGCACCUUACGAGAAAUCAAAGUUUUUGGGUUCUGGGGGGAUUAUGGUCGCAAGGCUGAAACUUAAAGAAAUUGACGGAAGGUCACCACCAGGCGUGGAGCCUGCGGCUUAAUUUGACUCAACACGGGGAAACUCACCAGGUCCAGAUGAAAUAAGGAUUGACAGAUUGAGAGCUCUUUUCUUGAUUUUUCAGGUGGUGAUGCAUGGCCGUUCUUAGUUCGUGGGGUGACUUGUCUGCUUAAUUGCGAUAACGAGCGAGACCUUACUCUGCUAAAUAGCAGGCUAACUUUGAUGAUCGCGGCUUCUUAGAGAGACUAUCACUCAGUUGAUGG
rnacentral:rRNA from 1 species